UUACUUUCCUGGUAGGGGAGAUACCAUGAUCAAGAAGGUGGUUUUCAUAUAUUGUACUCUGGGUCUGCCAAACUCUGCGAUUUCCUCAAAUUACAGAAACUCAACUAUAAUUUGUGGUAUCUGGGAGAUGUGUUCUUGAUCUUCUCUGGU
ensembl:snRNA U1 U1 spliceosomal RNA